rnacentral:rRNA from 1 species
GAUGAACGCUAGCGAUAGGCUUAACACAUGCAAGUCGAGGGGCAGCACAAGGUAGCUUGCUAUCUGGGUGGCGACCGGCGCACGGGUGCGUAACGCGUAUGCAACUUGCCCUAUACAGGAGGAUAACCCGUCGAAAGACGGACUAAUACUGCGUAUGCUCACAACUUGGCAUCAAGUGGUGAGGAAAGAAAUUCGGUAUAGGAUAGGCAUGCGUCCCAUUAGCUUGUUGGUGAGGUAACGGCUCACCAAGGCAACGAUGGGUAGGGGAACUGAGAGGUUUAUCCCCCACACUGGUACUGAGACACGGACCAGACUCCUACGGGAGGCAGCAGUGAGGAAUAUUGGUCAAUGGGCGCGAGCCUGAACCAGCCAAGUCGCGUGAAGGAUGACUGUCUUAGGGAUUGUAAACUUCUUUUAUACGGGAAUAACAAGAGUCACGGGUGACUCCCUGCAUGUACCGUAUGAAUAAGCAUCGGCUAACUCCGUG